GACGAACGCUGGCGGCGUGCUUAAUACAUGCAAGUCGAACGCAGUGGCGAACGGGUGAGUAAAGCGUAGGUAACGGCCUCAUUGCGGGGGAUAACUAUGGGAAACAAUAGCUAAUACCGCAUACUGUGAGAUGGAACUGCGUUGUAGUAGCUCGUUGGUGAGGUAAAGGCCAACCAAGGCGACGAUACAGAGCCGACCUGAGAGGGUGAACGGCCACACUGGGACUGAGACACGGCCCAGACUCCUACGGGAGGCAGCAGUAGGGAAUCUUCGGCAAUGGACGGAAGUCUGACCGAGCAACGCCGCGUGAGUGAAGAAGGUUUUCGGAUCGUAAAGCUCUGUUAUGAGAGAAGCGGUAACUAAACAGAAAGGCACGGCUAACUACGUGCCAGCCGCCGCGGUAAUAC
rnacentral:rRNA from 1 species